AGAUUCUAACAGGUAAGUCUGUUCUAUUAUACAGGUGUAAGGUGAUGCAUCUCUGCUGAUGAAAUGGGAAACGUUUUUAUUGUGGAAAAAAAUGCCUGCAGAAAUCAAAGACACCUGCAUCGCAAGAGGAACAAAUCCUAUCCAGAUCCACCUCAUCUCCAAAAAAACUUAUGAUUUGUUUCAAUCACAAAACAACAGAUGUUUGACAUGCGAGUUUAUUCCGAUGAACGCGCAUGCGCCGUUUUUCAUUCCCCCAUCCAAAAUCCUGCAGAAUUAAAACCUGCAAAAAAAAAACUGUUUCCCUCGAAACACUAAAAGUCUUUUCCGACCUCCACACAAAACAUUUCCCACCACCUUACUCCACACGCAGACGGCGUUAUUCGCGUUUAUUGUUG